UUGAAGUUGAUCCUGCCAAGGUCAAAGUAAUACAAGAGAAGCCUGCGCCCAAAACUGAGAAGCAAGUCAGAGGUUUUCUUGGCCGUUUGAAUUAUAUAUCAAGAUUCAUUUCACACAUGACUGCCACAUGUGCGCCUAUAUUCAAGCUUCUUCAGAAAGAUCAAUCUUGUGAUUGACCAAGGAUAUCCAGAAAGCUUUUGAUAGUAUCAAAGAGUAUCUACUUGAGCCUCUGAUUCUGUCUUCACCUGUUGAAGGAAGACCAUUGAUUAUGUAUUUGACUGUGCUUGCAGAGAGUAUGGGUUGUGUUCUAGGUUAGCAAGAUGAGACUGGAAAGAAAGAAUUUGCAAUAUACUACCUCAGUAAGAAGUUCACCGAUUGUGAGACUCAGUAUUCUAUGCUAGAGAAGACUUGUUGCGUAUUGGCUAGGGAUGCUAAGCAUUUGCGUUAGUAUAUGGUGAAUCAUACUACUUGGUUGAUAUCCAAAAUGGAUCCAAUCAAGUACAUAUUUGAGAAGCCUGCUUUAACUGGGAGGAUUUCCCAUUGGCAGAUGUUGUUAUCAGAGUAUGAUACCAAAUAUCGAUCUCAGAAAGCAAUCGAAGGUAGUGUCUUGGCUAACCAUUUGGCUCACCAACUGAUUGAAGAUUACUAGUUAGUGCAGUAUGAUUUUCCUGAUGAAGAGAUUUUGUACUUUAAAAUGAAAGAUUGUGAUGAACCAUUGCUUGAAGAAGGGCCAGAACCUGGUUCCCGUUGGGGCAUGGUAUUUGAUGGAGCUGUUAAUCAGUAUGGUAAUGGCAUUGGGGCAGUAAUCAUUACUCAUCAAGGAACGCAUUUUCUACUUACAGCUAGAUUGACUUUCAAAUGUACAAAUAAUAUGACUGAGUAUGAAGUUUGCAUUAUGGGGCUUGAAGAGGCCAUUGAUCUCAAAAUCAAGUAUUUGGACGCCUAUGAAGAUUCAGCUUUGGUGGUGACUCAAUCAAAGGUGAAUGGGAGACGAAUCAACCCGGUUUGAUACCAUAUAGAGAUUAUGCGAGGAGGAUUUCAACUUUCUUUACAAAGGUUGAAUUUCAUCAUCUCCCUCGAGAUGAAAACCGGACGGCAGAUGCUCUCGCAAUAGUGGCAUCAAUGAUUGUAGUGAAGUAUUGGAAUGAGGUUCCUAAUUUGACUGUGAUGCAUCUUGAUAGGCCAACUCAUGUGUUUGUUGUUGAAGAAGUCAAGGAUGAAAAACCGUGGUAUUACGAUAUCAAGUGUUUCCUCCAAAGUCCGAUUUACCCGUCUGGGGAAUCUUUGAAAGAUAAGAAGACUUUGAGAAGAUUAGCCGGAAUUUUUUACUUGAAUGGUGAUGUUUUGUACAGGAGAAACUUUGAUAUGGUUUUGCUCAGAUGCGUGGAUAGACACGAAAUAGACCUAUUGAUGACUGAAGUCCAUGAAGGUUCCUUUGGUACUCAUUCCAAUGGACAUGCAAUGGCAAAGAAGAUGUUGCGAGCAUGUUCCUCCGACACUGUUGAACGUUAUUUCCUUACCAUGGCCCUUCUCCAUGUGGGGAAUUGAUAUGAUUGGCAUGAUUGAGCCCAAAUCUUCAAACGGACAUCGUUUCAUUUUGGUGGCUAUUGACUACUUCACAAAGUGGGUUGAAGCGGCAUCGUAUACGAAUGUAACCAAGCAAGUUGUUGUAAGGUUUAUCAAGAAUCAGAUGAUAUGCCUUUAUGGUGUGCCAAGUAAGAUCAUUACUGAUAAUGGAUCGAACUUCAAUAAUAACAUGGUGGAAGCUCUUUACAAAGACUUCAAGAUUGCACACCAUAAUUCUUCUCCCUACAGACCCAAGAUGAAUGGGGAUGUUGAAGCUGCAAAUAAGAACAUCAAGAAGAUCAUUCAGAAAAUGGUUGAAACGUAUAAGGAUUAGCAUGAGAUGCUCCCGUUUGCUUUGCACAGAUAUUGUGCAUCCAUCCACACUUCAACAGAGGCAACCCCUUUCUCUCUUGUAUAUGGUAUGGAAGUCGUGAUCCCAGUAGAGGUUGAGAUCCCUUCAUUGCGUGUGCUCAUGGAAGGCAAGUUGACUGAGGAUGAAUGGUGUCAGACCAGAUAUGAUCAGCUGAAUUUAAUUGAAGAGAAAAGAUUGACCACCAUGUGUCACGAUCAGUUAUAUCAACAGAGAAUGAAGAAGGCAUUUGAUAAGAAGGUGAGGCCUCGUGUAUUCAGAGAAGGUGACCUUGUGCUCAAGAAGAUUUUAUCUUUCAAACCAGAUGCUAGGGGAAAAUGGACUCCUAAUUAUGAAGGCUCAUAUGUUGUUAAAAGAGCCUUUUCAGGCGGUGCUUUGAUCCUUAUAACUAUGGAUGGUGAAGAGUUCACUCGUCCUGUGAAUGCAGAUGCAGUCAAGAAAUACAUUGCCUAAAAAGAGAAAAGAACAACUCGCUAAGUUGAAAACCUGAAAGGGCGGCUUAGGCAAAAAUGAGCGUCUCGGUGGAUUGAAAACCUGAAACGGCGAUCCAGGCAAAAGUUAGAGACAUAAAAUAGAAAGAAUUAUCCCGAUAAAUUGAGUAUCGCACCUUGGGGAAAUUUAUGAAAAAAUUAGGGAUUACGGCAAGUAACUGCAUCUUGUUGAUCUUCAGACUUGAAGACGUUUUUGAGCACAACAGUCAGUUUUGGUUCAUCGUCCCCAGUAGCAGUUAAGAGCACAAUGGAUAUCAAGAGUUGGUAGAAGGAUUAGUGAUCAUUGUAUUCAAUGUAACCCUUUUCCCAUGUAAAUUACCAUUUUUCAACUUUGUAAAGAUCUAUGAAGUCUUGUCAUUUACAGACUACCAUUCCAUUAAAUAAAGUUGAGCUUUUAUCCUAUUGUUUCUACUCUUAUUUAAUUCAGCUAAAUAGUUUUAAAUUUUAUUAUGAUCAUUUUUGAAAAUUAAUUUUUUUAAUCAAAAUCAUGUUUUGUUAAACAUAUAAAAGCAUUUAAUUUUAAGCAAUCGAUUUCAUUUAAAAAGAGUAUCAACAACGGUUCGAAAGCAGCAGGCCUUAAAAUGUGGAGCGUUAUUGGUUCUCCCUAAGCAACAAGCGUGAUUUCUCUUUCAUCCCCGAAAACAUUAAUCAGCACUCAGUGUUUGUUGAUUUCUCCGAAUGGUUAUUUCUCCGUCAUCCCCAUCCAAAUUUAUAUUUGGUCUCCAGCAGAGUUAGAACAUUUUAUGGUUUCAGCAGACUUUGGUUUCCUCACCAGUCACCGUCAGAUCCGCUCCCAAGUCAGAGUUCCCUCCGGGUUUCUGAGCAGAUAUUUGUGGUUAUCCCCUGCAUGGUUGUCUCCCAUUUGAUAUGGUGUUGACCUAAAACUCCCCACGGAGUUUAUAACACUUUUCCUCAGCAGAUCUCCUCCUUCCCCAACUAGGGUUGAGCCUUCGGGAUGUUGAUCUCUCUUUCCACCAGCAGUUGUUUCCCUCUUUUGUGGAUUGGCCGAGAAUUGUAUACAAAUCUCCGACAUUUUAUAUCCUUUGUGAUUGUUUUGUCAGCAUAAUCAUCAUAUAUACAUCUACAUCUACAUAUACAAUCAUAUAAUUUCAUUGUUGCAUUGUUGUGCUCUGAAACUCAUUCCUGUAAUUGUUAUUCUCUGUUAUGGUGGUACUUUAUCCCCAUAUCAGUUUGGUGUUUGUCCUCCUUCAAUUGUAGAAUGUCAGCCCCUUAAGCAGAAAGACUUUAACCUUUCUCCUUUCUCCACUAAGUUAUUUCCUCGUGGAUAAUGAUCGUUUCAUCUUCCUCCUAGUUGAUUAUCUGGAUGGAACCACUCCCCUUGAGUUAUAUCCUCAUUGGGUAGAGUCUUGAUUGAUCGUUUCUUACUAGAUCUUACCUAGAUAGAUAUUUUUGGUCCCCUAAAAGUUUAUUACUCAGUAACUGGUAGUAUUCUCUUUAGUGGACAGUUUGUUACUUCUUGCCCAGUACCUUGGCAAAAGUUACCUUGUUUCUCCCUAGCGGAUUCGUUUUCACGUUUCCCCAGGAAGUAUAUCCUUGAUAUGUUCAUCCUAACCGAUGACAAAUAUUUUCUUCCCUUACUUUGAGUUUAUCCUUGAUAUGUUCAUCCUAACCGGUGACGGAUAUUCUCAUCUUUGGUAUUCUACCCAGUAAAAAGGUAGUUGUAAUCCCUAUUUUUAUUCCCGAGAGAGUUAAUCCUUGGUAUGUUCAUCUUAACCGAUGACAAAUUUCCUUCUCUUUGCGGUCUUCUGCCUAGUAACCGAUAGUUAUAAAUCCUGCUUUUUUCCCUUUGCAGAGUUUAUCCUUGAUAUGCUCAUCCUAAUCGGUGACAGAUACUCUUUCUGAUGGUAUUCUAUCCAGUAACUAAUAGAUAUAAUCCCUAUUUCACCCAUUUGAGACUAUCCUUGAUAUGUUCAUCAAAACCGGUGACGAAUAUUCUCUUUGAUGGUAUUCUAUCCAGCAUUUGAUAGAUGUAAUUCCUAUUCUUUUGUUUAGGUGGUUUAUCCUUGAUAUCUUAAUCCUAACCGAUGAUGGAUAUCCUCCUAAACAUCCCCAGGAAAGAGAAUCCUCGAUAUGUUCAUCCUAACCGAUGACAAAUUUUCUUUCCUUUGAGUUUAUCUUUGAUAUGCUCACUCUAACCAGUGACAGAUAUUCUCUCAUUUGGCCUUCUGCCCAGUAACUGGUAGUUGUAAAUCCUAUUUUCAGUUUUUCCCUAGCAAGGCUAUUCUUACCCAGUGACCGGUAAUGAAUACACCUCCUGGCGACCCCCAGUGAGUCAUCCUUGAUAUGUUUACCCUAACCGGUAACGAAUGUCCUCCCUGUCAGACUUUUAUUAUCUUCUUAUCCAAUAACCUGUAGUGGAUGAUAGAUUUCUGCUCCUCCUUUGUUGAAGUUUAUUUCUUCCCCCAGUUGAGUUGAGUGCGUAUUUCCUUAGUGAAAUCGCUCUUCCUGCAUGAUUCGAGUAUUUCAGUUUUUUUCUGAUCUACCCGUUUCCCCUGCAGGCUUUCCCUUUGUUUCCCGGAUGAGUCUUUCCAUUUUCAUGGAAUUCCUCUAGUCCCCCAGUUGUUUUAAGUCAUAGCCUGGCCUGCGCACACCCUUUUUCCUCCUAGAGUCUUUGUUUCCCCAGUGAGUUUUCCUUAGGAAAAUGCAUUACACUCCUUUGGACUUUUAGUCUCUCCGGAUUCUUUUCCUUUGUGGCAACAUUUCCCCACAAAGAUUUAUUUUAACAUUCAUAUCAUAUGCAUCAUGAGGUCUCUUAGGGACCAAAAUUUAUUUCUAUAUGUUGUUAUUUAAGCCCAUUCUACUGAGUCGAUACGAAGUUUUUAACCUUCACCUCCUCAGUUUGAAUGUCCUUAAAUAGGGGCAAUCGUAAGACCCCAAUUUUGACCCUAAGAUCCCUCAUGUUACACUCAUCAUAUGCAUUAGCAUUGGGAUCAUACCUUGGCAUCCUCCUUACCCCUCUUUCAUUGGGUUUAUUUUGGGAAAAAUCACCAAGCAUUAUGUGAUUGUAUCAUACUUGUUAUUUUAUCAUUCACUAACCAAAAUACCAAAAAUAUGUCUUUGCAUUUGUUUAACUUUUUUGUAGGUAGGGCACAUGAUCACCAUUGAUCUAUCAAGUUCACAUCUAGUGUUUAAGACCCUCAUUGCUAAAAUCUCAACCAAGAAAUUAUCCACAAUGGUUCUAGGAAUCAUAUAUGAGUCCCAAUGAUCUCUACAUGUUAUUUUGAUCAAGAAUUCUUCAAGAGUUUGGAGUUGCUUUCCCUUGGAAACCUUAAUUCAUCUGGGUAUCUUGAGUAACUUCUUCAACAAGCUUCUUCACCCAUUGAUAAAAUACUUCAAGGGACACUUCAAAUUUCAUCAUCUUAUGCAUAUAUGAUCUCCCAUGAGUCCAAAAAAUCAAGAUAAUUUCAAGUUAGCAAGUUGGUUGAUGGUAGUUGGCCAGAUGAAUUCAUCUGAUCAAAACUGAGUCUCCCUAGACCCUAUAUCCUAGAAUUUCAUAACAUGAAAAUGAUUCCAAUGGAAAAGUUACUCUAAAUGACAUUCUAAAUAACUUUCAUGUUGAGGUUUGUAGCGGGAAAUUCAUGAUCAUCAAGCUAUUGACAAGCUAGAGAUCAAUUAACAAGAGUCGCCACCGCGCUUUUAUUGUUUCCAAGGGAAAAGGGAAAAAGUACGAACAAAACCCAAAAGGUAAGAGGGAAAUUCAUGAUCAUCAAGCUAUUGACAAGCUAGAGAUCAAUUAACAAGAGUCGCCACCGCGCUUUUAUUGUUUCCAAGGGAAAAGGGAAAAAGUACGAACAAAACCCAAAAGGUAAGAAGUUUUAAAAUAAAAACUAAUAAAAGUCAUAGAUCACAGGUAAGGGGGUUGGUUACACAGAGGGAAGGUGUUAGCACCCAAAGUGUCCUAGGUACUCUUAGCGAGCCCUUUUUGUGUGCAUAUGUAUUUUGUACAAAAUGAUGUUUACAAACAAAUAGAAUCGGGGGAUGAGAAAAGAAUUCAUUAAUUAUAUUUUUGUGUUUGACAAUACCUUCGGUCUUGUGCCUAUGUACCAACAUAAAAAUGAGGGAUCAAAACCUCGUAGUUCGUGCUAUAAACUUCAAAAUGAGUGGGUUGAUUUUAAUAAAAUUAGGUUUGAAAGCCACAAAGGCCUAAAAUGUUUUGAAUGGGUUAGUUCUUUUUUUCAUUUUGAAAGUUUAAGUCAAGUAUGGUUAAGUUUAUUUACAAGUUUGAUUUAAGAAAAUAGUUUGAAAAUGCAAUGGCAUAAGGCCAAAGUUUCUAUCUUUUGGAAAGUGGUCAAAGUUUAGAACAAAAUUAGUUCACACAAAGAAAGUUUUGAAAAUGGAGGGAGAGAUUUUUAAAUUAAAGAAAUUGGGAGAAGAUGAAGAGACUAUCCUAUGCACAAAAUUUAAAAGUUUAAAGUUGAAAAGAUCUGACCAAAUGGGUAGCACUCCAAUAUACAAGUAUGUCAAUAGAAACCCAGAAUUCCCUUGGACUUUUUAGAAUCAAGCAACACAUAAAUGCACAAUUAUAUCAGUCUUGAAGAGCAAAGUCAUCAAAUAAAGAUGGCCUCAUCCAAGCUUAUCCACUUCAAUUAUCUUCUUCAGAAUAGCCCAUGGAACAGAUGAAUUCCACAAGUCACAGGUUCAACAUAACAGCUUAACAAUGAUCAGUAUUGCAGAUGAACUGGAGAAAUCUUGAAUAAUGUAUCAGAUGAAUUUCAAAUUGUAAGCACUUGGUUCUUCCACUAAUUUGCAUUGCCAAGUCCAUUAGCAAAGGAAUGUUGCCUAAGUUCUAAGUCCAAUUGGUCCACAGAUCAAGCCAAAAGUCCACACAAAAGUUUUUUAGGGCUUUUAUUGUUAUUAUAUACAUUAAUGGUCAAAGACCACACAAACAAACAAAGUAACACAAACAAAAUGUAUCACACAAAUAUGGUCCAAAUGGACAAAGUGAAAAUUACAUUAAGAUAAACAAUUAGAAUGAUAUGUAUAAUGAAAAAUGAUAUAGAGUGCUAAAAGUAAAUUGCAUUAAAGUAAAAGCUUGAAAUUAAAAGUCAAUAGUUAGUAAGUUAGGGGUUAGUUUUAUUUUGCUUUUCUUAUCAAGACAUUCUUUGGAGAACACUCAACCCACUUGCCACAAGCAUAGAUCCUUGAACCAAAACAUCUUCCAAAGGAAGGAAAGAAGGCCAAGUUUCCAUACAAUACCAUGGAAGAGGGGAGACUUACAAUCUCACUAACUAGAAUACUUAUGCCUUUUGUGUCACAAAUUUAGCGAUAUGUUAAGCAAUCGUAAUUGGACUUAUGUAGAAGUCACAACUAUUUGAGGUCGGGCAAUGGGUUUUUGGUGUUAAUGCAUGUUGGAAACAUAGUAUUAUGAACUAUGCUCAUUAAACAUACCACACACAAAAAUAUGCAAAAGGAGUGGCCUAAUCUCAUCCAUACUCAUGUUAAUCUUUAAAUCAACUAGCAUUAGGACUUUGAGAUGUCAUUGGCCAAAUGGUAAUGAAUGAAUGAAGAAGGGGAAUUAGAUGAAGGGGAAGUGGAUGAAUGAGAUCACAAAUUGGUCAAAGGAGGACUUUUACCAAAUUAAUAUCAUUCAUUCAUUUUGGGAGAUGGAAUGUACAUUCCAUUAAUCCCCUAAAUCCAAUGAUAUUAACUUGACAAAGUCAAAUCAACCUGACCAAGGCCAACAACAAACAAUCAAACUCAAUUAAGUCAAUACAAAUGGUCAAACACAAUUUAAAUGGCAUUUAAUCAAUUAAAAAUAAUAAAAUAGUGCAUUAAAUUCAAAUAUGUUUUGUCCAAAUCCUAAAAUCACAUCAAAACACCAAAUAAAUGGGCCAUGUGAUUUAUCAUAGGUCAAACAAGGUCAAAGGACCUUGGAUAAAAAAAUUCAUAAUUUUUGGGCACUUAAAAAUAUUUUUAAACAAUUAAAAACAAAUGAAAAAUCAAUUAAUUCAUGAAAAAUAUUAAUAAUGAUCCAAAAAAUAAUUUUAUUUCAGAAUAUGAAAGAGAAAAAUAUUUGAAGAUUUUUUGUGAAAGUCUCAUAUUUUUUGGAUCAAUAUUAAAUUAAAUAUGAAUUAUUAAAGAUAAUGCAAUUAAAAUAAAAUUCAGAAAAUGCUAAAUUACGUGGACCAUCAGAUCUCCCUCAUUAAUUGAGGUGGCAAAUCUGAUGAUCCAAAACGUGCGCUCCACAUACACCUGAGUCAACCGCAUGGCAAAAGGAGUAAUCACAAGGAAUGAUCCAGAUUAGAACAUGAUGUCGCAACGCGAAAAACAACCGGAGGAAAAAAUACAGAGCCGCCACCGACGCUAUUCAUCCUAUGAUGGGAAGGGAGCGCAGGACUAACCUAAGAAAGGGAAAGGAACGGUCUUAUGACCAAAGAUUACAAGGUACGGGAGUCGGUUACGCGAGGGGAAGGUGUUAGCACCCCUCACGUCCGCCGUACUCGACGGGAUCCACGCUAAAAAGAUAGCUCAAAGGAAAGGAAAAGGUUGCGGCUAAUAAACUGCUCAAAGAAACUACACAAACUGGAACAAUAAACAGGUGAAAGAAGAAAGAAGACGGAGGAAAUGGACUCGGCAGGAUGUUGCAUCCUGGGCCUAUGUAGUUUGUCAGAAAUAAACAUCAGAGUCAAUGUAGUCCGGGGAAUGGAGACAUGUUCGCUAAGACAUCGCGUCUUAUGCCUACGUAUCUUCUCUAUCCAGAGGAGAAUCAGAGCACUCGUAGCUCGGCUAACGCAUGCUGAAACAAGACACCAAAAAGGGACGCUGAGACGUCAGAAGAAACACUCAAAAGGAAACAGACUGCCAUUACAUGGACUUACACCCGACUCCUAACAAUAACAAAAAAAGGAAACAAAAUGCUAAUACAUGGACUUACACCUGACUCCUAACAAUAACCAAACAGGAAACAGAAUGCCAAUACAUGGACUUAUAUCCAACUCCCAAGCAUCAAACAAAGGAAACAGAAUGUCAAUACAUGGACUUACACCUGACUCCUAACAAUAACCAAACAAAAGGAAACAGAAUGCCAAUACAUGGACUUAUAUCUGACUCCUAACAAUAACAAACGCUAACCAGCGAACACCAAAGAAAAGGUUAUCGGAACAAACCCCAACAAAGUAACUAACUAUCCAGCCAGUCACCACAAAUAAACCCCAAAGAUGAACCCCAAUAUGAACCCCGAUAUGAAUAACAAUCAUCGCAAAUGAACCCCGAAGAUGAACCCCAAUAUGAACCCCAAAGUGAAUAUAGGUGAACCCCGAAUGAGUGACAAACAUCACAAAUGAACCCCAAAGAUGAACCCCAAGUGAAUAACUCAUCACAAAUGAACCCCGAGAUGAACCCCAAUAUGAAUGACAACCGUCAUAAAUGAACCCCGAGAUGAAACCCAAGUGAACUCCAAAUGAAUGAAAAUCGUCACAAAUGAACCCCGAAUAAUAACAGAAGAAAUCCCCAAGGUAUAAACAUACCACAAACGCCCAUGAUGAACAAACAGGUACUCACACCAAAACAAAGAAAAGGGUGAACACACAAAAAAAAAAAACAAAAGGGUGAACAAACACAAGAAAACAACACACCAAAAAAGAAAAAGGGUGCCCGAAGAGAUUGCUCACAACCUCCUGCCUACGUAUCUCACCUGGUAUGAGAAUCAGGGCGACGUAGUUCCCCUUACCAGGGAUAAAACACUCUCCUAACCAGAGACCAGUUAAAACAACAAACUAAAAGGGAGACUGAUACUCGAGCCUAAUAGUUGUCAUGCAAUCAAAUAUCCCUAAGCUGAGGUCUCUAACAAGAAUUUGACUCAACCUAGACGCGAGUCAACUCAAGUCUAAACUCUACAUACGUUCAACUUCAUCCGAAGUUAAUCGUACGACUCCUACAGAAACAGAGAUGAGAAGAGUAAAGCAAAUAACACACCAACACAAGUGAACAAGCAUCACACACUAUAUCCAUAAAAAAGUCUCAAACAAUGGGUGGGCUUUAGUCAAGAGGGGUCAUAUCAACCUCGACAAACAAGCCAAACUGUAAAAGGUAAUCUGCAGCUCUUAACCACUAACAUUGAACGUCAGGGUGAGCAGAUUAAAAUGGUAUUGAGGAUGAGACCUCAUAGCUCUUAACCCUGGCCAGGGUGAGCUCAUGACAAAGAAAGCGUGGGUAUCCAGAAAGUGGGAUCCUAUUCCACUUAACAGACUCUGGACAAAGAUCUGGGGCAUAUGUUCAAAAGCAUCCGCACGUAGUACGAGCAUAAAGAACGACACACUGAAUAACGGGGGAUCGACUGCUAAUCCCUUUUAUCCGUCAAUUUCCUCUUCUCUUAGAGGUCUUAUCAAAUAUCACAUGCCUCUCCUUGGAGGUUUUUGGGCACAAUGUUAAACAAACACAAACAGAGCCUCUGAAGGAGGACUUGCCAGCAAAAUGCCUGAAAAAAAGGUGAUAGGACUUCAAACUACAUGAAGUAAGAAGCUAACUACAUGAGUGGUGUGUCAACCACAAUCCAAUGCUCAACCAAGAGCUAGAGCAAGCAAGCAACUAAGGUACCUGUACAAAGACUAAACAAUCAGUACUUCAGUCAUAAAACCAGCAGACAAACAGUGAAACCCUCUAACAGUUACACAGUUCAAUGCAUAAGUGCCUUUGCACUCAAAUGAGCUCAUGAGCUCACCACAUCACUUAAAACCCUACAAAACAAACAUAGGUCAGAACUCAAUGCAUCUCACAAGGUGAGAACAAACCCAAUCAUCAAUCAUGAGUAUCCAAACCAGAAACACAAGACAAAGUUAGUCCAUGUACAUCUAAUCAAACACAACAAAACCCUAGUACAAAGGCCGAAUUCAAAACCUAACCAAAUGACCAAACCAGGACUCAUCCUUUUGCACAUUACACCUUCAAACACUCCCCUAAAUGUCCUCAAAAGGACCAACAUCAAAUCAAUGACCAAGUGCCUCAAAUGGCCUAUGUAAUGUGAUGACCAAAAAUAUGCACAAAAUGAAUUUCCAACUUAGAAAAUUCAUAUCAAAUCAGAAAUGUAUGCAAUGACUUUGGGAUUUUUUGUACAAGUCCCUCAUGUCAUGAAUAAUCAUCAUGCAAAAGAUCAAAUCCAGAAUGAUCCAAAUGCUAUGUGAACAAAAAUGCACCAAUUCAAUGCCAAAAAUGUGACACAAAUUGUCACAUUAUUCUCUAUGUGUCAAAAAUGAUGAUAACAUGUGAGAAAAAAUCCAAACCAGUGACCAAUAAUAAUGCACCAAUUCAAUGCCAAAAAUGUGACACAAAUUGUCACAUUAUUCUCUAUGUGUCAAAAAUGAUGAUAACAUGUGAGAAAAAAUCCAAACCAGUGACCAAUAAUUCAUGUCAUGUAUGAAUGUCAUGUAUACAAAAAAUUGGAUCAGAAGGUUCAACAUAGAGAAUUUCCCAAUGCAUUGAAUGCAAUAGGUAAAAUUGGCACAACCUUGAUUCAAAAAUUCACACAUAAAAAUCUAGACAUCCAAAAUUCAUGAAAUUAAUAUCAUAAAAAGUAGACAUCAAUAAAAAACUAUGAAAAAAAAUUGGGACUCAUUUGGACUAUUUUUUGGAUUUUUAAUGAUUUAAACAAAAUAGGCAAAAAAAUUGAAAUAUUAAAUGGAAGUGGAGGGAAACACAAUUAUUCAAAUAAAUCCAGAAAAAUCCACAGCCACAGGAUAUGGCGCGCGUAUCAGAUCAACGCUCCACAUUCAAAUGAAUGAAACACAACAUUUCAUUAAUGACUCAGCCUCCCAGUCACACGCUCAGUCAGCGUUCCAAGCGUGCGUGGCCAUGGUCAAAGGAAUUCAUAUCCAAUCAAGCUUCCACGCAACAGCACACAUGGAACACACGUCAGCCAAAACCCUAGCCACGCAGACACUGGAGCUACAGCUCCGGUCGUUUUCUCCAGCGAGACGCGCGGUGGCGCCGCCCAAAAAAUUUCCAGAAUCUCACAAGACCGGUACCAUUCGACUCGUCUUCCAACGUAGGUUCCAAAUAUCACCUUAGUUUUCUCUAAUUCCUCCUAGGUUUUGCAAAUCGAAGAGAAUAAAUUCUGAGAUCCAAACUUCCAUUCAACACCACGUCAUCAAUUCUCACUCAAACUCAAUUCUAAUUACAUAUUUGUUAUCUACUCAUCAAUCUCUACAGUUCUAUGUCCAAAAAUCAGCAAAAGGAGACGAUGAAAUUUGUGUCACCUGGAAAUGAAGCUUUCUGAAACCGCGAUCUCUCAAGCUCUACUGCUCCAGAUCAUCUCCUAUGAGCUUCCGUUGAAGCUUUAUACAAAAAGAAACGGUUAAAUCCUCUUGAAUACACCUUAAUUUCCAAAUUCCAUUGCCAUGAGAAUGCUCUUGAUCUGCUCGAAUCUUGGCUGAAUUGCACCAAACAAUGGAUGAUUCUUGAUCAGUGAAGCAUGAGGAUCAAUAAUAUGUAAGAAUAUUUGAGAAUUAUGUGGGGAAAAUGAAGAAUCGAAGAGAGAGAAAGUUGAGAGAGUUCUUGAAUUUUGAUCUGAAAUUGGUGGUUAUGGCAGUUAGGAUUAGGGUUUCACUAUUUAUAUCCCUUGCUAAUGACAAUGCUAAUCCUCUUUUCCAUUUGUUAAUCAUGAUUAAUGAGAUAUGAAGCAUCUUGCAAAAAUGCAAAAUGAGCUCACAUGGCCAAAAUGCACGUGUGAUCUCCCAUGCUAUGAUCUCAAUCCACUUAAGAACAUCCAAUGGUCAUGAUUUGAAUAUCAAUUAGCUUGCAUCUUAAGCCAAAAAUGAAUGGUGAAGAUUUACUUCAUUUUGCACAUGUGUGAAAUAAUGAACAUACAUGCCCCUCUCAUGUAUGGUAAUGGCUUAUUUUGAGAUGUCUUGAACAUGAGAAGCAUUUUGCCAGAAGAAUGAACCAAUUUGGAGCAUUGUAUCAAAAGUUAUGCCAUUUUGAAUUUCCAUGCACACUUUGUGAUCAAAUGACAAUAACUCCUCAACCACUCAUCAUAUGGACAUGACUUAGGACGUUUUAGAAAGGGGAGACAAAGAUCUACAACUUUCAUGCUCACCAAAAAUCCAUUUGAAACAUCUUUGAUAUCGAAACGUCAAGUUGAAAGUAGACCAAAAACUUGCCAAAUUUGGAAACUUUGAAUUAUAUGUCACUUUCCAUUUUUAGUAACUUUUGUCAUGACUUUUGAAUCUUCAAAUGGAUGUUUAGAAUGAUGAAUAGACCCUCUUUGAACAUGAUUGAGGUGUCUCAACUCAUUUCCCCACCUCAUAGCCCUCAGUUGACUGCAUAGUUGACUUUUUGGUCCUCAGAUGACCUUGAAAUGUCUUGAUGCUAGAACCAUGAUGAUGGUGAUAUAUCCUUGCAGAUAAGAUGAUGCUCAAGACCUUUGAAGAAUCAAGAAACCCUAAUUGAAGCCCAUACCCUCAGAUGGUGAUGAAUCAAUUCCAUAGAGACCCUCAGGCUUGAAUCAUGUAACUUCUCCAUCUUUUGAAAAGACUUUGGAGGAUGACCUUCUUAUUUUCAUAUGAGACGCAAAAUGCAAUGCCUAAUGCUCUAAAAUAUGAAAUUUAAUGUGUCAAACUAGUCUCAAGAAGAGGAGGGCAAAUUUUGAGGUGUUACAGCUGCCCCUAUUCAAUCCACUAGAGACCCGAAAAGAAGAUAGCAACGGCUUUCGCACUUUCGAGGUAUCAAGGGAUUGAAUACAAUAAAAGCCUGAAAAUUUGCACUGGAGUGAAGUGAAGUAACAAUGCCUGUCAGAAUCGGCAAAGAGGUGGUCUCGAAAGAAGAAUUCGUCUGGUACGGUGAGAGUCAGUCUGAAUACCGAAAAAUAAUGUUAAUUGGGAUACCAAAAUAAAUGGUAACCUAGAAAUACCCAUGGCCUGAAUGCCGCUCAUCAGUCUGAUUACUAGAAAUGAUUUCGAUCUAAGCAUCGGACGAUAUGAGAUUAUUAAUAUCGGUCUGAACACCGAGAGACUGGCCUGAAUGCCACUUUGGUAUGGAUACCGAAAAACUGGCCUGAAUGCCACAAGUUGCGUCGACUUGAAUGUUGGGAACUUCUUCGAUCUGAACAUCGAAAAAUUGGCAUGAAUGUCACUUCGGUCUGAAUACUAGAAAACUUCUGAAUUCCACAAGUUGCAUCGACCUGAAUGUCGGAAACUUCUUCGAUCUGAACAUCGGAAAAAUGGCCUGAAUGCCACUUCGAUCUGAAUACCGAAAAACUGGCUUGAAUGCCACAAGUUGCAUCGACCUGAAUGUCAGAAACUUCUUCGAUCUGAACAUCGGAAAAUUGGCCUGAAUGCCACUUCGGUCUGAAUACCAGAAACCUGCCCUGAGUGCCACAAGUUGAAUCGACCUGAACGUCGGGAACUUCUUCGAUCUGAACAUCGGAAAAUUGGCCUGAAUGCAAUUUCGGUCUGAAUGCCGGAAACCUGGCCUGAAUGCCACAAGUUGCACCGACCUGAAUGUCGGAAACUUCGAUCUGAACAUCGAAAAGUUGGCCUGAAUGCCACUUCGGUCUGAACACCAGAAACCUGGCCUGAAUGCCAUUUCGGUCUGAAUACCGGGAAACUGGCCUGAAUGCCACUUCGGUCUGGAUACCGGGAAACUGACCUGAAUGCCACUUCGGUCUGGAUAUCGGGAAACUGGCCUGAAUGCCACUUCGGUAUGAAUAUCGGGAAACUGGCCUGAAUGCACACUUCGGUCUGGAUACCGGGAAACUGACCUGAAUGCCACUUCGGUCUGGAUAUCGGGAAACUGGCCUGAAUGCCACUUCGGUAUGAAUAUCGGGAAACUGGCCUGAAUGCCACUUCGGUCUGGAUACCGGAAAAUUUUCAUGCCUGUCAGUAUCGGCAGAAAUAAGGAAAAUGAUCAUUGAGGCGGCACGUGGGCCAACGACCCCUGCUGGGAAUUAAUAAAGAUAAGCCACGAACAGGCUGCCCCUAAUCAAUCCACCGUGAAUAAUUUGCAGAUGACCAGGGCGAAAAGUGGUUGAAUACCAAAAACAAAUGAACAAUUUGCGCUCCGCUGGGAAUUAUUAUUAUUUUUUUUUUUUGCUUUUCUUGAACCCCAAAAACUUCAUGUCACUCUUACUGCCAAACAAUGAACCCCGUUCUCCAUUUGAACCCCAGUCGCCUAACGACAACUCUUGAUCGUCAUUGUGAACCCCAUUCUCCGGAAGACACUCUACGUCUCCUUUUCUCCUGAUGGACCCCGAUCUUUGCGCUGAUCACGUAACAUUCUCCAAUCUUCACUUCCAUCUCCGAACGACGGAAAUUUUCCCCCCAAUAUCGCGCUACUGGGAAAUAUGGUUGAUCCAACGUCACAAUGCCAAACUCCUCAGAGUAACAUCUUCACCAACCAGCUAAACCAACUCUCAAACAGUAACCACGACUUGAGACUAGCUUAUGCUUGCAAUCCUGAUGCAUGAGUUUUACAGCGUAAUGCUCCAUAACCAUGGAAAUGCUACGCAAUUAGUUAUGCAAUAUGCUAUGCUUCUCUAAAUGAUGAAUGCAUAAAAAAUAUCCCCCUCAGGGGACGGCACAAGCAACUCUGUUGAGGAACUCGAUAGCGCUCCAAUAUCCGACCCUGCUUUGGAUAACACUGACGUCGAGGAAAGAGUAACCCUCAUGGGGAUGACUUCCACUGAACUCGAUCCGCUUGGGGAAAAAAAACUGCCAAUGCACACCUCUGCCGGGGAAACAACAACCUUCAGACCUGCUGGGGAAAUAACAAUCUCAACCCUGCUAGGGGAAAUACGGAAUAUCUAGCAUGGAACACCCGUUGAUUCGUCGAACCCUGGUAUUCACCAUCUAACCACAGUGUCAAAUUUCCACUUUUGAGAGCUCCCAAACUCAUCCAGUCUCUUCUGGUUCAUCACCUUGUAUUCUCGACUUCUCCCUACUUCAUGAAGAUCGACCUCCUUAGAUUCGUGCCAACUUUCCAAUUCAUCAGACUUUGAAGAGUCUUCUUGAUUAAACCUCUAGGAUCGUGACAAUCCUGUCGUCUCUACACCAUUCCUUGCUUCCUCGUCCCUGAUUGGACCUCAAAGGAAUCUUUUGUCAAAAACGCUUCAUAUCACAACCUGCAAGUGAGUGAAAAUAAACCAACAGCACCUGCAAAAGAGACCGUUAGAUAAAACAUGCCCCGGGCGUGCCAAAAUUUCAACACCCAGGUCACUCAACCUUCCGAAUAAGAUAUCAAGUUUUCAAUCCUAUAAACAUGCAUUGGAAGGGACCCCUAUGUCUCAAAAUGCAAAGAUUCUUUAUCAAAAUAAGCAGAUGUUUUUGCAAUCAAAGCGGUAAUGAAAACAAAAACAAAAUUAUUUGACUGAAUAUGCAUUUUAUUGAUUGAAAAAGAUGACUCGUAACUGAGCAGUACACAGGAAGCAAUCCCUGAAAAGAGGUAAUUGCACACAAAAGGAAAAUCUAUCCUAAUGGCAAUGUGAACCCGUGAUCUCAUCAAGUUCCAACCCAGUUACAACCCAUAUGUCCUCAAGACUCUCCGCACUUUCUUCCUUCCGAAACAAGACACUUCUGACCAAUCUCCGCUUUCAGAUUAUCCAUGUGUCUUAAUCAAAGUACCAACGACCAUGCUAGACGCAGUUGUUCGUUUCAUUACCUCUUUUGCCUGGACCGCCCUUUCGGGUUUUCAGUCCACCGGGGUACCCUUUUUUGCCCAGGCCGCCCUUGUAGGGUUUUCGACCUGCCGGGUGUACAGUUUUUUCCUUUUUAUCCCUAAUUUUUGCCCGAGCCUUUUUCAUUUUUAUUUGGUUCGCCGGGAUGCCCAUUUUUUCCUGGACUAUUUUAUUCUUUUCGUCCAGCGGGUCUCUUAUACGAAGUAUUUUUUAACUGCGUCCGCAUUCACAGGGGAUGGAAAAUCCAUUUUAUUCUUUUCGUCCAGCGGGUCUCUUAUACGAAGUAUUUUUUAACUGCGUCCGCAUUCACAGGGGAUGGAAAAUCCUCGCCAUCCAUGGUCGUCAACAACAAGGCUCCGCCAGAGAAAACCUUCUCGACCACGAAUGGACCCUCAUAAUUAGGUGUCCACUUGCCCCGACGAUCGUUCUGAGGAGGAAGGAUCCUUUUCAGCACCAUAUCUCCCACAUGGUACACACGAGGUCGCACCUUUCGGUCAAAAGCACGCUUCAUUCGCUGCUCGUACAACUGCCCAUGACAAAUGGCUGCCAGCCUCUUUUGCUCAAUCAGGCUCAACUCUUCAUACUGAUUCCUUACCCACUCAGCCUCUUCCAAUUUCACAUCCAUCAGGACUCUCAAUGACAGAAUCUAGACCUCAACUGGUAGCACAACUUCCAUCCCAUACACAAGCGAGAAAGGCGUUGCCCCAGUAGAUGUACGCAUUGAGGUUCGAUACCCAUGUAAUGCAAACGGCAACAUCUCGUGCCAAUCCUUAUAAGUCACGACCAUUUUCUGCACAAUCUUCUUAAUAAUCUUAUUAGCCGCCUCGACCGCCCCAUGCAUCUUUGGACGAUAAGGAGAAGAAUUGUGAUGCUCGAUCUUGAACUCCCGACAUAGUUCCACCAUCAUCUUGUUGUUGAUAUUAGAACCAUUAUCGGUGAUGAUUCUUUCAGGAACCCCAUAUUUGCAAAUGAUAUCUCUUUUCAGGAACCUGGAAACAACCUGUUUCGUCACGUUUGCAUAAGAUGCCGCUUCCACCCACUUGGUGAAGUAAUCAAUAGCCACUAAUAUGAAUCGGUGCCCAUUCGAAGUUGUAGGCUCGAUCUUUCCAAUCAUAUCAAUACCCCACAUAGCAAACGGCCACGGAGGCAACAUCAAACUCAACGGAUUUGGAGGCACGUGCACCUUGUCAGUAUAAAUCCGGCAUUUAUGACAUUUCCGCACGAAGUUGAAACACUGAGCCUCCAUUUUCAUCCAAUAAUAUCCAGCCCUUAGCAACUUUUUCACCAUCGCAUUCCCACUGGCGUGGGUACCAAACGAUCCCUCGUGCACCUCUUUCAUCAAUUGGCUUGCUUCUUUGUCAUCGACACAUCUGAGUAAAACCCAAUCAAAAUUCCUCUUGUACAAAACCCCAUCUUUAUUCAGAUAGAACGCCAUGGCCAACCUCCUCAGAGUGUUUCGGUCCUUCUUAGACGCUCCCUCAGGAUACUCUUAGGUUUCCAGAUAACGCUUGAUGUCAUAAUACCACAACUUUUCAUCAUCAGGCGCUGUUUCGACAACAAACACAUAAGCCGGUCUAUCCAGCCGUCCCGCCUCAACACUAGGAACUUGAUUCCACCACUGCACUCUAAUCAAAGCGGCCAGAGUAGCCAAAGCAUCUGCUAAAGGAUUUUCUUCCCUCGGCACAUGGUGUAAUUCCACCUUGGUGAAGAACGUCAACAAUCUCCUCGUAUAAUCCUGGUAUGGAAUUAAGUGGGAUUGAUGUGUAUACCAUUUCCCGUUAACCUGGUUCACAACCAAAGCUGAAUCCCCAUAAAUAACAAGGUUCUUGAUUCGCAAAUCAAUCGCCUAUUCGACACCCAAGAUACAAGCUUCGUAUUCAGCCACAUUGUUGGUGCAUUCAAAUGUUAGGCGGGCAGCAAAAGGAAUGUGGGAUCCCUUCGGCGUAACCAAAACAGCACCAACUCCGCUACCAUUCACGUUAACAGCCCCAUCAAACAUCUCUUAGGUAAGCCUGAGUCCCAGUCCGGGGAGGAGGCGGAUAGGUUCCUCACAAUCUUUCGAUUUGAGAAACAUGAUGUCCUCAUCAGGGAACUCAAAUUUCAUCGGUUGAUAAUCCUCAAUGGGUUCCUGGGCGAGGUAAUCAGACAAUACACUCCCCUUUAUUGCCUUUUGAGAAGUGUACUGGAUAUCGUAUUCAGUCAAAAUCAUUUUCCAUCUCGCAACCCGUCCGGUCAAUGUUGGCUUCUCAAAUAUAUACUUGAUCGGAUCCAUCUUGGAAAUCAACAAAAUGGUAUGAACCAGCGUAUACUGUCUCAGUCGGCGAGCAGCCCAUGCCAAAGCGUAGAAAGUUUUCUCGAGCAGUGAAUAUCUUGUUUCACAGUCGGUAAACUUUUUGCUAAGGUAGUAAAUUGCAUGAUCUUUUCGACCAGACUCGUCAUGCUGCCCCAGUACACACCCCAUAGACCCCUCGAGGACUGUCAAGUACAGGAUUAACGGUCGCCCCUCCACAGGAGGCAUCAGAAUCGGAGGCUCCUGCAAAUUUCUUUGUAUCUUCCUUUCAAUGCCGCUAGGAAAUCAUCAUUCCACCUAACCGUUAAUAAUUUUCUCAACAACUUGAAUAUGGGUUCACACCGUGGCUGUUAGGUGAGAAUGAACCGUGAAAUGUAGUUCAAUCUACCUAAGAAACCACAAAACCUCCUUUUCUGUUCUCGGUUCAGGCAUUUCUUGUAUCACUUUUACUUUAGCAGGAUCAACCUCGAUCCCUUUUCACUUACAAUAAACCUCAACAACUUACCGGACCGCACUCCGAAAGUGCACUUAUUUCGGAUUCAACCUCAAUUUGAAUUGUCUCAACCGGUCAAACAACUUGGCCAAGUCUACCAAAUGCCCCUCUUCUGUUUGGGACUUCGCUAUCAUGUCAUCAACAUAGCAUUCGAUCUCUUGAUGAAUCAUAUCAUGAAACAAAGUCACCAUAGCUCUUUGAUACGUGGCACCGGCGUUCUUGAGACCGAAUGGCAUCACCUUAUAACAAAAAGUGCCUCAUGGUGUGAUGAACGUUGUUUUCUCCAUAUCAUCUGGGGACAUUUUAAUUUGAUUAUAGCCAGAAAAGCCAUCCAUGAAGGAAAACACCGAGAAUGGAGUUGUAUUAUCUACCAACACAUCGAUGUGAGGUAAUGGGAAAUCAUCUUUCGGGCUAGCUUUGUUCAAAUCCCGGUAGUCCACACACAUCCUCACCUUUCCAUCAUUCUUUGGUACUGGCACAAUAUUCGCGACCCAAGGCGGAUAAUUAGUGACAGCCAGGAAACCAGCAUCCAGUUGCUUUUGUACCUCCUCUUUGAUUUUCAUGGCCCAUUCGGGUCGAGUUCUGCGCAACUUCUGCUUUACUGGAGGACAAUCUUCUCUCAAUGGCAACCUAUGUACAACGAUAUUGGUAUCCAACCCUAGCAUAUCUUGAUAAGACCAGGCGAAGAUAUCAACAUACUCUUUCAACAGUGCUACCAUUCUGCUCUUGACAUUCAUCUCCAAAGCGGCCCCAAUUUUCACUUCCUUUCUGACCUCCUCGGUGCCCAGAUUAACAUCUCAACUUGCUCCUCGUGCGCCGAUUUGAAACCACCUUCUCCUCUUGUUUCAACAACCUGGCUAACUCUUCCGGCAGUUCACAAUCUUCUUCGCCUUCUUCUUCGGCAUGAUAGAUCGGGUUGUCGAAGUCAUAUAGGGGUGUAACAGAAUUGUUAUCAAUGAGAUCCGUAGAAUGAUCGCAUAUGCAUGAAUGUUGAUUCAUGCAUUGCUUCAGAGUCGGAACGAGACAAAUUAAAAGGAAGAAAAAUGAAAAUAAACAUUGCCAUUUUUAUUGUAUUGUUUAUUAAACUGCAAAAAUAAAUGAUAAACAGGGAACACCGCUUUUAAUGCGAAAAACAUCCGUUUAUUAAUGAUGCAAAUAAUGCAAAAUUAAACACAUGAGGUGUCCCUUACAAUGGACCAUUACGUUUCGGGCAAAACGUAUGGCUUUCAUGCAAACAGAAUUAACAAACAGAAAUAUUACUCUUCACGCAGAGUGACAGUGAUGAUCUUUUCGGCCUUCCAGUUUUGGAUCUCCAUUCCUGGUAUGCACGAUUUUAUCCACAAGUCGAGCUCGCAGUCACUGUCAGUCUCUUCACCCACAGACAUUGGGGUCCUCAACUGAUCCACAACCGUCACCCCGAUUUUACUUUUAUCCUCAAAAAUAGCAUGCACCCCCAUCUGACCAUGCGUCGGCACGGGAUUAGCAUUAACAUUCGGCGAUGGUGGAAAAUUGAUGGCUUUGGAAUCCACCAAGUCUUGGACGACAUGCUUAACAGCUUUACAACCCUCAAUGUUAUACCCGGGAGCACCAGAAUGUAACUCACACUUGGCGUUCUCAUCAUAACUGGCAGGCCUCUGAUCUGGUCUUAACGGAGCCAACGUCCUCAACUGUACCAACCCGAGGUCCUUCAACUUCUUCAACAGAAGGGCAUACGUCAUGGGUGGCCUAUCAAACUGGGUUUGUUGCGUCUGGUAAAGUAUCUGUGCGGACGAGCUACGUGUAGAGGAAUGAUUCUGCGUGCGCGAGCAAUGAUUCUUGAUUCAAUCAAACACGUUAGAAACCGACACUUGCAAAAUAGAGGACACGUUAUUAUGAUUCAUGCAUGAAUGCAAUGUCUAUCCGUAUGAGGAACAUUCUGUCCUUCGAUCCUGGCUUCAUUGAGACGGAUAAUAAUUCGACAACAGCAUUCUGACAUCAAUCAUAUGGCUUUGGUGUACAGAACAGAAAGUUGUGCUUUCAUAUCUGGAACAAGGAUGUCUCUCAACCAGAAUCUCAAUCAAGAAUGUACCCUGCAUAUGGGUAAACAUGAGUUAGAUGCGGGUGAAUGCAAAAUGGGAAUGAUGCAGAUGCAUGAAUGCGAUGCAUAGUGCCAUCCUCCAAGACGUCUGAACAUCAACUGUACUGGAUCCCUGUCUCAGAACUGAUCACAACCAUCCAAGGGACUAAGUAACCACAAAUCUAACUCGGGGGGUCCGAAAUAAACGGUACCGGAGAAUACAUCACCAUCAUCACAGGAAAAUCACUGAACGGAUAGCAACAAGAUCACCUGAACAAGCAAUCCACCUCUAACCCGGGGGAUCUGAAAUAAACGGAACCCGCUCAUAAAUACCAUGGACAGAACUCUGGCGUGUCAGAAAUAAAUAUCCAUAAAUCCAACUUAUAAAUAGAAUCCAGAUCACGAACCAAACCAAAGUCACCAUCAAAGAGUCACCAACAGAACCUGUACCUGUAGGAACCAAACCCCUCCCCUCACAGGUGAAUUCUAAUAAGGUCAUCCUAUGGCGGACAAGAUACUCAAUGGGUUUGCCCUUUCGGGUGUGCCGUGCAACUCUCAUAAGAUCAUCUAAACCAAAGAUCCGGGAAAGAACGGUCACCGAAGUCAACAACUCAAAAUAGGUAACCCAACCAUAGUGGAUACUCCACAAGGAAGGGCUCUCUCAGAAGAACCUCGUCCGGUUGUGGUAUGUCAUGUCACAACAACAUGCUUAUCUAACAUGUGAGGCAACAUGAGACCACGCUAAUCCUAGGUGUAUACUCGGGCUUUGGGUUUUAGCCCCACUCAGAACACCCACCCCAAAUCAUAGGAACCACACCUGUCCAGAAUACAGCACAGUGAUAAUAUGAUGCAUGCAAACAUAUAUGCAAAUAUAUACAAUCACAGUAUAAUAAUCACAAAUGCAAUAAAUAAAGCAGUAAAAGCAACCCAAACUACCCUAAAAACUACGCUAGAGAGCGCUAGGAUAGACUCGCUUAGGGAAGAUGGACCAGCAAGAGGUCAACAAUCAUUUCCCCAGCAGGGUCGCCAGCUGUCGCAACGCGAAAAACUACCGGCGGAAAAAAUACAGAGCCUCCACCGACGUUAUUCAUCCUAUGACGGUUAGGGAGUGUUGGACUAACCUAAGAAAGGGAAAGGAACGGUCUUACGACCAGAGAUUACAAGGUACGGGAGUCGGUUACGCGAGGGGAAGGUGUUAGCACCCCUCACGUCCGCCGUACUCGACGGGAUCCACGCUCAAAAGAUAGCUCAAAGGAAAGGAAAAGGUUGCUGCUAAUAAACUGCUCAAAGAAACUGCAUAAACUGGAACAAUAAACAGGUGAAAGAAGAAAGAAGACGGAGGAAAUGGACUCGACAGGAUGUUGCAUCCUGGGCCUACGUAGUUUGUCAGAAACAAACAUCAGAGUCAACGUAGUUCGGGGAAGGGAGACAUGCUCGCUAAGACAUCGCGUCUUAUGCCUUUGUAUCUUCUCUAUCCAAAGGAGAAUCAGAGAACUCGUAGCUCGGCUAACGCACGCUGAAACAAGACACCAAAAAGGGACGCUGAGACGUCGGAAGAAACACUCAAAAGGAAACAGACUGCCAAUACAUGGACUUACACCCGACUCCUAACAAUAACAAAAAAGGGAAACAAAAUGCCAAUACAUGGACUUACACCUGACUCCUAACAAUAACCAAACAGGAAACAGAAUGCCAAUACAUGGACUUAUAUCCAAAUCCCAACCAUCAAACAAAGGAAACAGAAUGCCAAUACAUGGACUUACACCUGACUCCUAACAAUAACCAAACAAAAGGAAACAGAAUGCCAAUACAUGGACUUAUAUCCGACUCCUAAUAAUAACAAACGCUAACCAGCGAACACCAAAGAAAAGGUUAUCGGAACGAACCUCAACAAAGUAACUAACUAUCCAGCCAGUCACCACAAAUAAACCCCAAAGAUGAACCCCAAUAUGAACCCCGAUAAGAAUAACAAUCAUCGCAAAUGAACCCCGAAGAUGAACCCCAAUAUGAACCCCAAAGUGAAAAUAGGUGAACCCCGAAUGAGUGACAAACAUCACAAAUGAACCCCAAAGAUGAACCCCAAGUGAAUAACUCAUCACAAAUGAACCCCGAGAUGAAGCCCAAUAUGAAUGACAACCGUCAUAAAUGAACCCCGAGAAGAACCCCAAGUGAACCCCAAAUGAAUGACAACCAUUACAAAUGAACCCUGAAUAAUAACAGAAGAAAUCCCCAAGGUAUAAACAUACCACACACGCCCACGCUGAACAAACAGGUACUCACACCAAAACAAAGAAAAGGGUGAACACACAAAAAAAAACAAAAGGGUGAACAAACACACGAAAACAACACAACAAAAAAGAAAAAGGGUGCUCGUAGAGAUUGCUCACAACCUCCGGCCUACGUAUCUCAUCUGGUAUGAGAAUCGGGGCGACGUAGUUCCCCUUACCAAGGGUAAAACACUCUCCUAACCAGAGACCAGGGAAACAACAAACUAAAAGGGAGACUGAUACUCGAGCCUAAUAGUUGUCAUGCAAUCAAAUAUCCCUAAGCUGAGGUCUCUAACAAGAAUUUGACUCAACCUGGACGCGAGUCAACUCAAGUCUAAACUCUACAUACGUUCAACUUCAUCCGAAGCUAAUCGUACGACUCCUAUAGAAACGGAGAUGAGAAGAGUAAAGAAAAUAACACACCAACACAAGUGAACAAGCAUCACACACUAUAUCCAUACAAAAGUCUCAAACAAUGGGUGGGCUUUAGUCAAGAGGGGUCAUAUCAACCUCGACAAACUAGCCAAACUGUAAGAGGUAAUCUGCAGCUCUUAACCACUAACAUUGAACGUCAGGGUGAGCAGAUCAAAAUGGUAAUGAGGAUGAGACCUCAUAGCUCUUAACCCUGGCCAGGGUGAGCUCAUGACAAAGAAAUCGUGGGGAUCCAGAAAGUGGGAUCCUAUUCCACUUGACAGACUCUGGACUAAGAUCUGGGGCACAUGUUCAAAAGCAUCCGCACGUAGUGCGAGCAUAAAGAACGACAGACUGGAUAACGGGGGAUCGAAUGCUAAUCCCUUUUAUCCAUCAAUUGCCUCUUCUCUUGGAGGUCUUAUCAAAUAUCACAUGCCUCUCCUUGGAGGUCUUUGGGCACAAUGUUAAACAAACACAAUUAGAGCCUCUGAAAGAGGACUUGCCAGCAAAAUGCCUGCCAAAAAGGUGACAGGACUUCAGACUACAUGAAGUAAGAAGCUAACUACCUGAGUGAUGUGUCAACCAUAAUCCAAUGCUCAAGCAAGAGCUAAAGCAAGCAAGCAACUAAGUUACCUGUACAAAGACUAAAUAGUCAGUACUUCAGUCAUAAAACCAGCAGACAAGUAGUGAAACCCUCUAACAGUUACACAGUUCAAUGCAUAAGUGCCUUUGCACUCAAAUGAGCUGAUGAGCUCACCAUAUCACUUAAAACCCUACAAAACAAACAUAGGUCAUAACUCAAUGCAUCUCACAAGGUGAGAACAAACCCAAUCAUCAAUGAUGAGUAUACAAACCUGAAACACAAGACAAAGUUAGUCUAUGUACAUCCAAUCAAACACAACAAAACCCUAGUACAAAGGCCAAAUUCAAAACCUAACCAAAUUACCAAACCAGGACUCAUCCUUUUGCACAUUACACCUUCAAACACUCCCCAAAAUGUCCUCAAAAGGACCAGCAUCAAAUCCAUGACCAAGUGCCUCAAAUGGCCUAUGUAAUGUGAUGACCAAAUAUAUGCAUAAAAUGAACUUCCAACUUAGAAAAUUCAUAUCAAAUCAGAAACGAAUGCAAUGUUUUUGGGAUUUUUUGUACAAGUUCCCCAUGUCAUGAAUAAUCAUCAUGCAAAAGAUGAAAUUCAGAAUGAUGCAAAUGCUAUGUGAACAAAAAUGCACCAAUUCAAUGCCAAAAAUGUGACACAAAUUGUCACAUUAUUCUCUAUGUGUCAAAAAUGAGGAUCACAUGUGAGAAAAAAUCCAAACCAGUGACAAAUAAUUCAUGUCAUGUAUGAACGUCAUGUAUGCAAAAAAUUGGAUCAGAAGGUUCAACAUAGAGAAUUUCACAAUGCAUUGAAUGCAAUAGGUCAAAUUAGCACAACCUUGAUUCAAAAAUUCACACAUAAAAAUCCAUACAUCCAAAAUUCAUGAAAUUAACAUCAUAGAAAAGUAGACAUCAAUAUAAAACUAUGAAAAAAAAUUGGGACUCAUUUGGACUAUUUUUGGAUUUUUAAUGAUUUAAACAAAAUAGGCAAAAUAAUUGAAAUAUUAAAUGGAAAUGGAGGGAAACAAAAUUAUUCAAAUAAAUCCAGAAAAAUCCACAGCCACAGGAUAUGGCGCGCGUAUCAGAUCAAUGCUCCACAUUCAAAUGAAUGAAACGCAACAUUUCAUUAAUGACUCAGUCUCCCAAUCACACGCUCAGUCAGCGUUCCAAGCUUGCGUGGCCAUGGUCAAAGGAAUUCAUAUCCAAUCAAGCUUCCACGCAACAGCACACAUGGAACACACGUCAGCCAAAACCCUAGCACACGCAGACGCCGGAGCUACAUCUCCGAUCUUCUUCUCCAGUGAGAUGCGCGGUGGCGCCGCCCAAAAAAUUUCCAGAAACUCACAAGACCGGUACCAUUCGACUCGUCUUCCAACGUAGGUUCCAAAUAUCACCUUAGUUUUCUCUAAUUCCUCCUAGGUUUUGCAGAUCGAAGAGAAUAAAUUCUGAGAUCCAAACUUCCUUUCAACACCACGUCCUCAAUUCUCACUCAAACUCAAUUCUAAUUAUAUAUUCGUGAUCUACUCAUCAAUCUCUACAGUUCUAUGCCCAAAAAUCAGCAAAAGGAGAGGAUGAAAUUUUUGUCACCUGGAAAUGAAGCUUUCUGAAACCGCGAUCUCUCAAGCUCUACUGCUCCAGAUCAUCUCCUAUGAGCUUCCUUUGAAGCUUUUUGCAAACAGAAACGGUUAAAUCCUCUUGAAUACACCUCAAUUUCCAAAUUCCAUUGCCAUGAGAAUGCUUUUGAUCUGCUCGAAUCCUGGCUGAAUUGCACCAAACAAUGGAUGAUUCUUGAUUAGUGAAGCAUGAGGAUCAAGAAUAUGUAAAAAUCUUUGAGAAUUAUGUGGGGAAAAUGAAGAAUCGAAGAGAGAGAAAGUUGAGAGAGUUCUUGAAUUUUGAUCUGAAAUUGGUGGUUAUGGCAGUUAGGAUUAGGGUUUCACUAUUUAUAUCCCUAUCCCUGCUAAUGACAAUUGCUAAUCCUCUUUUCCAUUUGUUAAUCAUGAUUAAUGAGAUAUGAAGCAUCUUGCAAAAAUGCAAAAUGAGCUCACAUGGCCAUAAUGCACGUGUGAUCUCCCAUGCUAUGAUCUCAAUCCACUUAAGAACAUCCAAUGUCAUGAUUGAAUAUCAAUUAGCUUGCAUCUUAAGCCAAAAAUGAAUGGUGAAGAUUUACUUCAUUUUGCACAUGUGUGAAAUAAUGAACAUACAUGCCCCUCUCAUGCAUGUCAAUGGCUUAUUUUGAGAUGUAUUGAACAUGAGAAGCAUUUUGCCAAAAGAAUGAACCAAUUUGGCAUAUCAAAAGUUAUGCCAUUUUGAAUUUCCAUGCACACUUUGUGAUCAAAUGACCAUAACUCCUCAACCACUCAUCAUAUGGACAUGAAUUAGGACUUUUUGGAAAGGGGAGACAAAUAUCUAAAAACUUUCAUGUUCACCAAAAAUCCAUUUGACACUUCUUUGAUAUUGAAAAGUCAAGUUGAAAGUGGACCAAAAACUUGCCAAAUUUGUAAACUUUGAAUUAUAGGUCACUUUCCAUUUUUAGUAACUUUUGUCAUGACUUUUGAAUCUUCAAGAUGGAUGUUUAGAAUUAUGAAUAGACCCCCUUUGAGCAUGAUUGAGGUGUCUCAACUCAUUUCCCCACCUCAUAGCCCUCAGUUGACUGCACAGUUGACUUUUUGGUCCUCAGAUGACCUUGAAAUGUCUUGAUGCUAGAACCAUGAUGAUGGUGAUAUAUCCUUGCAGAUAAGAUGAUGCUCAAGACCUUUGAAGAAUCAAGAAACCCUAAUUGAAGCCCAUACCCUCAGAUGGUUGAUGAUCAAUUCAUAGAGACCCUCAGGCUUGAAUCAUGUAACUUCUCCAUCUUUUGAAAAGACUUUGGAGGAUGACCUUCUUAUUUUCAUAUGAGACGCAAAAUGCAAUGCCUAAUGCUCUAAAAUAUGAAAUGCAAUGUGUCAAACUAGUCUCAAGAAGAGGAGGGAAAAUUUUGAGGUGUUACACAUGAGACUUGGAUCAAGUGGUUCAGAUACAAGACACAUCAUUACCGGAGCCAGAGCUUCGAUUGUCUUCUCUGGUGAGCUCCACCGGACUGGUCAUCAUGAACCAUCACCAAAAAAAGAAACAGGGAGAUGAUCUUAAAGAAAAAAACAUCACUGAGCUUGAAUCUGACCUCCAAUUCCUCCAAUUCCAAAUAUAUUAAGAGAUAUGUGGAAUUGAAAAAUGAGGUACAUGAUCUGAGUUGCUUCGAUUUGGCCUCAAAGCAACUCAAUCUGCUUGCCUAUAUUGGUAGGACCUCAGACAACCAAAGAAUCAAUGAAAUUGAGCAAUAAUUUAAGAGAGUCGAAGAUUUUAAAAUUUCUGCAAAUUACCUUCAAUGGAGGUCUGAACACGACGGAUCGUGAUCUGAAUUGUGCUUAACUUCAAUUCAAUUGCUUGCAGGAGAGGAAUUGAAAGGUUUAAAAGCAAUGGACUCCUGGAGAAUUGAAUUCCAAAACAGUGGAGAUUCAAGCUCAAAUUCAAAUGAAUUUAUCAGGUUUAUCCUAUGAGAGUGAAGGGUUUUCAAUGGAGAUUCAAAGCUAGCGCAAUGUGUGUGUUAAUUCUGAGGAAAUGUAGCUGUAUUUAUAGCCAAAUCCAUGUGAUAUUUGCACACUCUCUUCCACUUUCCAAAUUUGGCAAAAUGAUGAUAGAAUGGUGCAUGGGCGCGCAUAGCCCCAUGGAAUGAUAGCUGAAAGUCCAAAUUUGAAGUUCAGAUCUGUUGAAGUUAGCUUAGAUUGCAAGGCACAUGUGCAUUGUUACUUGAAGUUGGAUCCAUGCCAAAUGAUAUCAUCCUGUUUAAGCCAUGCGCAACCUAUGCAUUUCAAGUCCAAAAUGAAUGAAUUUGAGCUCUUUGGAAAGGUGACAUCAAGAGGAACACGUUUGAUGUUUAAUACUUUUCCAUUUGGAACUUGGAACUUGGAUAAAUUUGAGGUGGAAGUUUGGAAAAUUUUGACAUAUCAAAUUUUUUCUAAGUAUCAAGCCAUAUAUCUCAAUAUUCCACCUUGCUUAACUUUUUAUGGGAGAUUCAAAUGAGAAACGUGUCUUCAUUAAAGUUGUAUCUCUCUCAAAGACCUUAAAUAUGGUAACCAAUUUUAUGUCAUUUGGAUUUGAAAUGAUAGAGUUAUGCAUUUUUGAAGUUUGGAAAGAUCACUUGAUCAAUGGUAUAGGUCAAAAGUGACCUAUAAUGUAGCCUCAUAUCACAUGCUCAAAAAUGUUGAAUUAGCUGCCACUACAAACAUAAAUGUUGAAGUAGACACAUUGAAUUUGAUUGUUCAACUUGGAAAUCUUUCAUAUCAUACAAAUUGAGCAAGUUAUGGCCUUGGGAAGUUGACUUUCAAAUUAGGGUUUAGACAAAAUGACCUAUAAUGUUUCAACAUAGAAAAUGAUUUUCCAAGAAAAUCUAGCUCUAGAUCUUAACAUGUAAGUUGUUUGGAAUGUCAUUUAGAGUAAGUUUUCUCUUGGAAUAAUUUUCAUAUGAUGAAAAGUGUAGGAGAUAGGGUCUAGGGAGACCCAGUUUUGAUCAGAUGAAUUCAUCUGGCCAACCACCAUCAACGAACUUGCUAAUUUCCAAUUAUCUUGACUUUAUUGGAUCAUGGUAGAUCAUAUAUGCAUAAGAUGAUGAAUUUUGAAGUGUCCCUUGGGAAAUUUGAUCAAUUGUUGAGAUAGCUUGUUGGAGAAGUUACUCAAGAUACCUAGUGUCAUACCCCGAUUUUGACCCUGAAUUUUUUCAUUUUUAUUUGGAACUUGGCCUAAAGUUCAUUUGCAUACAAUCAUUCCCAAAUCCAUGUUUUGUUACACAUUGGUCAUUGUCUAUGCCUUUUUGAUCAUGGUGCUCUUGAUUAUAAAAUGGAUUAAUUAUUUGACUUUUUUAUUUUCAAUUUGAUUUUAAUUUCGAAUUAAGUUUAAUUCCAAAUUUCAAUUUAAUUUUAAUUGUUAUUUUUACUAAUGAUUCAAACUCUAAUUGGUUUUAAUUUUCAAAUCCAAAUUUCAAUUUAAUUUUAAUUGUUAUUUUUACUAAUGAUUCAAACUCUAAUUGGUUUUAAUUUUCAAAUAGAUGUUAGAAUUGAUAUCAAAAGUAAUUUUAACAAAUUAUGGAUUAAUUUGAUAUUUAAUUGGAUUUUUACUGAUUUUUUUUUUUUUGUUUAUUUAAAUUGAUAUUUAAAUUAGUCUUGGAUUAUUUCUAAAAAUCCAUUUUAUAACCGUAGUUCAUUCCAAAUCAAAAUAGCACAUACACACAUUUCAUAACAUUCAAUAAUAUUUAGCUUUCAAGCAUUUCCAAAAAAAACCAUAUUUCACCAAGUAAAAGCAUCCUAUUUACAAACCAAACUCAUUCAAACCAAAGCCAUUGCUUCAUUUCACGGACCUUUGAUUACAAUGUUUGAAACAAAAUGCAAAAUUCAAACCAACACAUUAACAUUUCAAAGCUGCUACAACCUUGGGCAAUUCCCGAAAUUACAGCGGAUUCCCAUUUGUUACAUCCAAUUUUCAAGACACCAACACAGAGGCUGCUGCAGGUGAUUGGGAAGGAUAUGAGAAUUAUGGUCUUUGGUUUUAAGCCUCGUGCGAAACAGAGACGUGCAAUAUAUGAUGCACUACUGAAGUGUACAAAGCCAACAAUAUUAUGGGAUCUUUAUGCUUUUAUGGCCGGGCUUUCCAGUUUUCAGAACACUUCUUCGUUGGUGCGCUUAUUAGAUGAAUAUUUUCGACUUAUUGGCAAAGUUUCACAUCAUGGCAUGCAACAAUAGCAACCUACAGUGGCUAUUCGAAAUAAAGUUUCGUCCAUCGAUACUGUGCCUGAUUUUGCUAACAAUCUUCUCACUCUAAGAUCACGGGAAGGAAGAUGGAUUCUCAUGUUAAUCAUUCAUCCAGUUGUCCAAAUCCUCAUUGAUUCAUAGCUUAUUCCAUAAUCCAAAAAAGUUCAUAACACGUUUUUGUUGAUCCAAAAAACAAUGCUGAAACAAAACAGUGACUCAUUAGAGCUUGUUUUUCAUCUUUAUGGUGUGAGCAUUUCAACAAUAGUUUCAUCUUAAGUACUAAUGGAGCUCAAAAAUGAGAAGCUAGUCAGGAAAUGGGGAAUUGAAAAGCUGGUUUACAAAGAUGUAAAGAAAGGGAUUAGAAGGGACAGAAAAUAUGCAGUGCAACCACGUAGGCUAUUUGCAACUGGUGUUCACAUGUCACAGAAUUUAGAUGGAAAAACAACUCACAACACGGAAGGAAGAAUAAAAUAUUUUCAUUAUCAUGGAACCAUAGCUCAAAGAAGAGAAUCAUGUAAAGUGUUUCUAAAUUCAACAGAAACCACAUAUGACAAAACACCUUAUGGGUUGGAUACGACUUUGAGAGACAUUGCUGGUGUGAUCAAGAAAUUUGAGCUCAAGAUGAUUG
rnacentral:lncRNA from 1 species